UAUAUUAAAAGGGCUUGAGGGAGGCUUUUUAGAGUGUCCACGUCGGACAGGAAAAUAGUCCAAUCAGAACAUUUCCUUUUGCCACGUCAUGUACUUUUUUUGGUUUAUGAUUGUACGUUGGGGCUCUUUCUAACAGUUAAGGUGGGCUUCUGUAGGGGCUCUCUCUAAAAAAAUGAUUGGCCCACCCAGCUCUUACUUCUUCGUCUUCAAGUUUUGGAAGUCUCUCCCGACGAUUUCACUUCAUCUUCUCCAAUCCCUAAUUUUUUUUUCACCGUUACCUUAUCAUCAAUGACUAUGUUAAAGCCAUUCUUCAAUGUUUUGUUCCAUCUCCCCUUCAUACUUCUCCUAUAUAAAGCUCUCUUUCUAAACUUAGAUCCAUCCUAAAUCGAAAAAAUUACUCUGCAGAAACGAUAUCCAUGGCAAUGAAAUCCACCACGAAGUCUCAGCUAGCCACCGGUAAAUCUCCCGUCGCCAUGUACUUCAACGACAUCUCGCCGGGACUUUCUGAGUCACAGCUUCGAUUCCGAUUGAUCCAUUUUUGGGAGGCAAAGAACAUCGCCAAAGGUGGAACUUUAAUUGGGGUUGGUAUGGGGUUACCCAACUCAACAGCUUCUGUGCGUAACUUCAUCAAAGCCUCGAAAGUAACCACUUGAAGCUCAAUAGUAUAAAUGUGUUUUGUCUGUGUGAUGAAGAGCCACACAGCUACGAUGGAGAGAUACUUCGAUGAUAUUUAUAAUUUUGCUGGAAAUAAUAGUUCAUCAUCGCUGCCAUAGUCAAUCCUCGCUGUCGUACGAUCGACAAGUUCAGAUCAUUGAGAGGUAGCAAAAUGUUUACUUGCAAUGAUCAACGCAUAAUUGCUCUUGAAUUGGACACAGGUGCAAGUCGACUACAAAGUCUUGAGCAAUUGAUGGGCCAUUUUACAGUGAAGAUCCAAUGUCCCUACUUCCCAUGUUUUGUUUGUCUGUUGGUAUUUUCUGUAAUGGAAGUGUCAAUCUUUUGGUAGGGAACUGUUAAAUCUUCUUUCUUUUUUUUGUAAAAAGGCCUACAAAACUGUUAACUCUUCACAAAGCAUUUUUGAGGUUUAAUUCUUUUUCUUUUUACUCCUCUCUAUCUAAUCUAAGUGUGUAUGCCUAUCAUAUUUGUCUCAGUUAGUUCAGGCAGCAGUUGUGGUAGAAGACAUGAUUAAGACAGAGUGCUUGAAAAAUGAACUGUGGUAUUGUUCUUCUCUUUUAGCUGCUGUCAAAAUGCUUUAUGGGCUAACUGUCCAUCUCUUCACCCUCGAUGCAGCUAUUAUAUAUUACAAUAAAACCAUAACUCAAUCAGAUAUGGAUGAGACAAAGCCAAUCGGCUUACCAGGUCAGAAGUCACAACCCGUUUCGGAUCCACAAGAAAGAAGCAGUAGAGGUAAGUGCGGGAAACACAGUAGAAAAGCUUCAGGGCGCGUGCAAAAACGGAGGCUUCUUUAUCAAACUAGAUUCAACGUGUGUUUAUGUGUAGCAGUGUAGAUAUAUGUAAUAUUGUAGCAGUGGAUGGCCCGAGAGAAUGUGUACUGUGUACACAUACAUAUAUGUAGAAGACUAACUAAUGUGGUUUUAAUUAGUAUCAAAACAAUUGUUUCGAUAUAUGCUAAGCUGAUGUUAGGACGAAAACUUAGAUUCUUUGUAAAUUUCUCUCUGUAUAAACAGUGGUUGGAUGAUUAUAAGAGGCUUCAAUCUUUCUUUUUCUUCAUUUAUGGAUUUAAGCCUUGCCUUAAACUAAAAAAUUUCAAAUAAGUAUAAGAAAUUAUUUUGAACCAGCAUACAAAAUUUAAAUCGGUAUUAUUUAAUGCUAUAUAAUUUUCUUUAUUAUAGUUACUUUGUUGUAUUAUUCAUAUAUAAUAGAAAACCGGAAUUUGCAUAAUAAUGUUUCUCUUGCAUUUAGGUUAAAACAUGUAUUCAGAGUAUUGUUCAUCCCACUAAAGAAAAUUAAAAGUAGAAGUUUGUAAUCUUGGAAAACUAGAGUUCAACUGGUUGACUAUAGUUGAAGAAAGGAAUACUACGUUCCAGUUCAUUCCCAGAUUAUUUUACCAUUUGCAAAGAAAAUUUAUUACUUAUAAGGCUUACUAAUUCCCCAUCGUUCCUUUUCUAUAAAGAACUAUGGCACAAAUAUAUUCCAUAUCAAAUCAUACAAGGAACAAUUAUUCCUUCAGUUUUUUUCUUAUAGUUCCCUUAGAUUUUUUUUUCACUUAAAUUGUCACCAAUUGGACCUUAAAUUACAUCAUUUAACCUUUCAAAAACAAUAGGUUUGCAAAAUGUAUACGAAAAAAUCAGUCAAAAAAAUGUAUACGAAAAAGUAUUAAUGGAUUCAAAAAAUGUAUAAGAAGGAAAAAUAAUUUAUGAUUUAUGUAUUGAAUUUUAAAUAUAGUUCUGAAUAAUUUUAUUUAUUUAAUAAAUAUAGAAUAAAAAUUGAAAAACAAAAUAUAAUCGCAUUAAUUAAAUAGGAAAAUCUUCUUAUUAAUUAGAAAAGCAUGUGUUUUCUAACAAGACUAACAAAUAACAAAAAUAAAAUAAAAUUUAAUAUUACUUUCAAUAGACAAUAAAUUAAAUAUUUUUAAAUGUAUAUUAAAACUUAAAAAAUUACUCACAAAAUGGUUAGUUGGAAAAACACACAUAGUAUUCUAAUAAACUACUACUUCAUUGAUUUAUAUUUUUUUUAAAGGGCUUUUGACUACUAUUUCAGUUAUUUACUGCUUUUACAUUAACUAUUUAAUUAGUUUCAGGAGGUACAACCAAAUGAUAAUGGUCUGAGGAUGCUGCUACCAUCGAAGUAGAUUUGACCAACAAUCAAGAAAUUAGAGCCUAAGCACAUAUCUGCCCCUCAUAUUAACAUGCACAAAUCAAAGAGCUUAUGUUCAAAAAGUCUUAAGAGCACACAGUGACAAUAUGGAAAGCAAUAUCUGAACAAAAAACUAUACUAUACUAAAAGCCAAAUAUACUCACGAUUUAGCAUGUCCACGUAGGACUUAAAAUUCAGGCCAAUCAGAUUGCUUCAUCUCUCCACAUCACCACCACACGUUUGGAUCAUAGAAGAUGAUUUUCGUUUAGUUUUUGGGCUUUUGUUUUAAUCUGACCAAGCCCAGUUGAGACUAGGAAUUUAUUUCAUUUUUGCAUUAUUGAAAGUCUUUUUUUUCUUUAUUGAAUGUGGGAAAUCAAACGCCGUAAUUCUUCACAACUCACCGAUUCCGGCUGAUGUCUAUGUAACGCCUUCAUUUAUGUCACUUAAUCAAAGCAUCUAUACUAUAAGUUAUUUUCAAUCCAAUCAAAAUGUUGACAUUAAUUAUUGUCCACAAAUGAUGAUUUAAUAAAAUACAUAAUAAUUUAUUUACUUAAUUAUUUUUUCCAAGUCUCAUCAAACCAAGGCCAAUCAAAAUAAAGAAGAAUAAAUCUUAUGAAUGGUUUCUCUUUUUUUAAGUACCAAACUUUAGCUUAGAUUAAAAAAGAAUGAUGGAAGAAUUUCUAAUAAAAAUAGAAACAAAUUAUUCACAAAAAUCAGUCAUAGUUAACAAAAUAUAUGUAUAAUUGACAAAAAAAAAACAUCUAAUGUGACACUUAAGGCUAUAUCUAAAUAUCAUCACCACAGACAAAAUAUGUGCAAACUUAGAGACUAAAAAAAAGUUACUAAUCAAGACGAUACCAAAACAAUGGAGUAAUGCAUCAGCUACUUAACCGCUGCCAACUAAUCAUCCUAUCUUUUGUCUAUCUUUUGUUGAUUAGCCAUAUCAUUAGAACCACAUUACUAAAUGCUCUCAACGGAACCAAAUCACCACCCAAACAGAAUCUCACAGAGCAAACUAAAAACAAAAAUAAACAAAUACAAUCAAUUAAAAAGCGUAGUAUAAUUAGAGAAUGAAGUGGAAUAAUAUGAAAUUAAUGAUAUUUGAUCAUUAACCUCCCAUUUUUUUAAAAAAAAAAUAUUAGGACAAAAUAACAACCCAAAAAUGAGAUUUAUUGCAUGGAGUACGAGUUAGAAAACUUGAGUGUUACUCAUCCGUUUUACAAGCAAGUAAAGCUAUAAUAUUAUGCCAUCCAAACAAUAUAAACAAUUAAUAAGAUCAUCA